AUUGAACGCUGGCGGCAGGCUUAACACAUGCAAGUCGGGCGAGCGGCGGACGGGUGAGUAAUAUAUGGGAAUGUGCCGGGUGGAGGGGGAUAACUACUGGAAAGGGUAGCUACUACCGCAUACCAUCAGAACAGCCCAUAUGUGAUUAGCUAUUGGGUGAGGUAACGGCUAACCAAGGCGACGAUCCCUAGCGGGUCUGAGAGGAUGAUCAGCCACACUGGGACUGAGACACGGCCCAGACUCCUACGGGAGGCAGCAGUGGGGAAUUUUGCACAAUGGGCGCAAGCCUGAUGCAGCCAGGCCGCGUGUCUGAAGAAGGCCUUCGGGUUGUAAAGGACUUUUGUUAGGGAGGCGGUACCGACAGAAGAAGCACCGGCUAACUACGUGCCAGCCGCCGCGGUAAUAC
rnacentral:rRNA from 1 species